rnacentral:rRNA from 1 species
UACAGAGGGUGCGAGCGUUGUCCGGAAUCACUGGGCGUAAAGGGCGCGUAGGUGGCUUGCCAAGCGUGUGGUGAAAGCCCGGAGCUCAACUCCGGAACUGCCAUUGAAACUGUUAGACUUGAGGAUGAGAGAGGUGAGUGGAAUUCCCAGUGUAGAGGUGAAAUUCGUAGAUAUUGGGAAGAACACCGGUGGCGAAGGCGGCUCACUGGCUCAUUACUGACGCUCAGGCGCGAUAGCGUGGGGAUCAAACAGG